ACAGCGGGGCCGUCGGGUGUAGGUGGGUGCGGAGAGAGCUAUAGCAGCACGCUUGGAAGGAAAACGUUUUAUUUUCAGCUUUAAGUUUAGCGGUGCUGUAGGCAUAACAGUUGUCCCGGCGGCAUACAGCUCCGCUCCGCGGGGAACAACAAGAGUCCUUUGAGGAGACAAUAAGUAAUGCUAUAUUUGCAAAGGAGGUUUUUCAGUAUACUAGAACACUAUGUCUUAAAGUUUGAAACAGUUCUGCACAGUCUUAGAAGGGGAAAACCUGUUUUCCUGGAUUCCUGUGGUCAAAAUUAGGUGAUCAUUUGUCCAACCUGAGUCUCCACUAGUUAGAAGCAGAGACCUGGGGAUUGAAGAAGUCAUGGAAGGAGAAGAAAAAAGAGGGAAGAUGAGGGAAGAGGCAACAGAGCGGUAGAUGUGGAAUUUUGGGUUCUGGUCCACGAUCCUAGAAAUACUCUUUUCAUCAUACCAAUUGAAAGAAAUAACAACCAACUAGAAUAACUAGAAAUAAUAAAACAUGUUUAAGUAAUACAAGUCUAGAUUUUCUAACCGCUAGUCUAUGUCAAUAACAACUUCAUAAGAAGCUGGAAAUAAAAUUAAGAUGGGAAAUGCAUAAGUACCUGGCUGUAAAAUGAUACAGUAGAGAGUGUAACUGUAGGACUCUAUGCCUAGCAUGAAAAGCAGGAAGACCUAACAUAUUAAAGGCUCGUGAUUUUUUCAGUAGCGGCCAUGGCAGACACAGUCUCAAUCAUUAGAUAAUCUUCUGCUUUAUAGAGAAUAUUGGCUCCUACCUGUAGUCUUCCCAGAUUUUGGAGGUCCCACGAUUGCAAUCUUAACUGGCACAGGUGGUUUAGGCUUCGGCUGACAAAUAUAUUUGAUGGGAUUGUUCAUAAAUGUUUCUCUGUUUUUUUUACUUGAAAAAAAAUAAACAUAUUGUCGAUGAAUUACAGGAAAGAGUGUGUUUUCAUAGUUUUGUGCUGGCUUGAUU